ensembl:lncRNA
CUGGGGGCCGGGGAUUCCCGGUGUGGGCUGAAGGGCUGGGGGUCCAUCCCCCUGGGGACUGAGCGUGACGGCAGGCACAGCAGGCAGAGAGGUGCACCACGUCCUUGAGGAAGAUGAGGCAUUUCUGCAGCUUGAGUCCCUCGAGAGCCUCAGGUUGCUGCACUGGAGGCGCAGGGACCCCAUCACAGCACCGCUGGGUUCGGAGUGUCCACCAGGGAGAAGCUGGCUGGCCCUGCGCCACAGGAAUGUGUGGGAUCUGCACCUUUGGCUGCCCCAGGAGAGACUCAGGAGUGCUGGACUGGGAGGGAUCGCUGCAUCACGGUCCAAAGCUCAGCCACACCUUGCAGUCUCCUUCAGCAAACCCUGAGAUGCUGAUUUGAACCUGGACAAUAUUUUGGCCCACUGCUCGUAUCAGAAGACUGCUCUGCAGUGUCACUGCUCUGACGUUUGGAAAUGUUCUCCUGAUUUGCAGCCUAACUUUAUUCAUGGCCAGAUUGUAUUCAUGGCACUCGUGCCUAGGCUGUCCGCUAGCUCUUUUCCUUCUUGUAUUUAAGCUGAUGUUAUCUGCUUUUGCUUACCAAUUUGCCUGCUGGCUGGAAUUAUGCAUGGAAAAGAAGUUUCCCAUGCCCUCCAUGUGGUUGUUUUAACCUCUCUAAAGGAGCUAAAUAAUUAUUCUUCAUCGAAGGGUGAUUGAGAGCAGGGCUCAUGGUAUAACAGCACCAUUUAUUCGUAAAGGGAUAUUUACACCCUCAGUGUAAAGAAUGCUUUGAAACUGUUUUAUUUUUUUUUUAAUGGAGAUCCAUUAAAAGUGUUUAUAACGUAU